rnacentral:tRNA from 1 species
GGCCUCGUAGCUCUGGUGGUUAGAACGUCGGUUAUACCAAAGCCUUCCUGUUGUCGUGGGUUCAAACCCCACCGACGCCA